GUGAGUGUGGCUCAGUGGGAAGAGUGGUCGUCUUGCAAUAUGAAAGUUGUGGGUUCCAUUCCAACUUCCCCCUGCUACA